CAAAUUUUCCUCGCAGACUUUAUUGAUGUAUGGUCAAAUAUUGUAGACAAUUUUAAGAAUACUUGUAUAAUAUGUCUGAUGGGAUUGAUUCUAUUGUUUAUAAAAUAAUAUAGACCCCCUUCCAGAUUUUCUUUUUAUCUGUUUAGUGUAAUAUUUAUGUUGUAUACUUAUUUCAUUGUUACUGAAAUAUAAUUGUUACAAUGUAAUAUAAUUAAAAAACAAAACAAAAAAAAAACCUGAAAAGUACAUUCACAAAGAAAAAGGUUCCCAACAAACGUCUUUUAAUUUGUUUCACCACCAUGUGCCAUUGCUGCAAAGCACAGAUAGUUACUCAGUAGAAACAUUUACCAACAACAACUCUUCAUUAGAAAACAUUAGCGAAUCAAAUUAAAGCACAUCAGAAAACAAGUGCAGCAUCUGUCAUUAGAAUUUCAUUAGAAUGUUUGGGCCACAAAUUGAGUAGCAUCCUCAACCAUCUUCUCAAAAACAGAACAAAAUAUUUUUUGGUGGGGGGGGAGAGGAUGUGUUAUUGAAGGAAUGUUAAUCGAGCGUAUUUGCCAUUUUAUUUAUGGCGCUAUAAUUAAAUACAUACAUUAAGCUGAUCUUCCAUCCACUACAGCCUGAAACAUGCAUUUGUUUUAUUUUAGGAAUUAUAUAGAGAUCUGAAAUAUUCCAAGACUUGGUGGGUGACAAGGUUUAGCAUACUGGGGUCUCGGUGCGGAGAAGAGAGAAACAAGCACACUGAACCAUUGAUACUGCUUUAAUAAACAUUCCGAGGUAGUUGUGCUUCAGCAAGCGCAAGGAUGCAUUUUGCCGUUUCAUGUUUACUCCUGUACAGUCUUCAAAUGCCAAACAACUGUAUACAUUUAGAAAGAAUCGUGGAAGGGUAGCAGAAAAAUACAAACAUGCCACUUCAUGGCAAAAAGUAAUAUAUCUCCAGUGUUCUACUCUCACUAUUUAUUAAUCAAUAUCUCUUAGAAUUAAGACAUUUUAUUAGUGUACUAGACUUGUGCAAAAAUGCGUUUUAGCCUUUUUUAAAUUUUUUUUAAAAGAAUCAAAAUCCUUUUAACUCUGCACCCAAACGAAGAGAUUAAUCUGGGAUUUACCAGUGACGUCUUAUCCUAGGCGAUUAGAUUUUUUUUUUGGUUGAGGAUUACAAGGAUUUUUGAUUUGGACUAAUCGGCAGAAACUUUUUUUUUUUUUUUGUGUCUUGUAUGUUAAUGGCCUACUCUGUUAGUGUUCAGGAUGAUGUAGGUCUAGGACCUUAAAGAAUCUUUCUAAAGCCACUUUCUAAAGCUGGAUCAAUCAGCUGAAACCUCAAAUUGGGAUUGAUCUACUUUUACAACUUUUAGUAAAUCCACUAAAAUGGGAUUAUCCUGUCUGGAAUGGACCACGGAAUUGACAAAUUAUAAGCCAUAAAUACUCAAAACUGUAAAUUGUUUUAUUCCACUCCAUAUUUUUCCCCUGAACUUGGCUACUUUGAAAUAAAAAUUGCAAUUCCCUGCUCCGUGGCCACAAUUUCACAGUUUAGUUCUUAACUCUGCUUAUCUUGUAUGGCUAAUGUUAGUGUUAAUCAAGUAUUAUUAGUAGCAUCCUCGAUGUUGGUUCAAAACAUAACACCUAACAAAUACAAACAGGAGAAGGUUCAGAAAAGUGUCUAACCAAGCUGCUGGGCAACAGCCAAAAGAAAUGCAGUAAUAUGUCUACCACCAUAAAAACUACAACAUAUUGUAGUGGCUAUGGUGCUUUGAGAGCCAAUUUAAAACGAAGCAUAAAUACAUACGACCAAUAAUAUUUCCACUCUCCCUCCCAGGACUUUUUGACUUAUUUUUUAAACUUAGUUAUUGCCUUAGAAUAAUUUCUUCUAUCAGGCCGGGAAAUAUAAACAGAACGGUCUUGUUUUGCAAAACGUAUUGUAGUAUUCGACCAUUACUGUCUGACAUGAGCGCUGUGGGAUGGAUAUGACCCAUCAGGGGCUUUUCUAAUAAAUUCCGCUGUGUGAAACUAGACAGCUGGCGAUUAAAGCGAAUGUUCGUGCCCUAUGAAUGCAGCAUUGAUAAAUUGCCCUCGUAUAUGCAGAUAUGAGCUAAAUAACCACUAACAUGUUCUAUGACACAUUUGCGCUGUACCUUGUGGAUUCUAUUUUGUGUCCAAAGAAGCACGACACCAUAGUUUUAUUGAUUCAGAACGGUCACCAGAUCUGGGACUGCUGGGUAAUAUGAUCUAUUUUAACAAUAAUCUGAUAUUUAUGCAUUUACAGGAAGGAUGUUUUUUUUAGUACAACUUGUCAGAGCAGGGGUUCCCAACCCAGUCCUCAAGUAACCCCUAUCAAUCCAUGAUUUAGAGAUUACCUUGUUUUGUCCAACAUGUUUUUCUUUUUCUAAAAACACAGCUGGGUAAUCCCCCAACUUCCUGACUGUUAGGGGUACUUGAGGACUGGGUUGGGAACCACUGUUAGAAAGCUUCCUUGUACCCUUACCAGCCACCUACGACUUCUGUCUGUUGUGAAAGGAUUAUAGGCGCGCAUGGACAGUCUAAUAUGUGAUGACCUGUGCCUUGUCACAUGGGUUUGUAAAAAGGAAGUAUGUUGGCUGGGUGCAGCCUGUAAGGUCGGCUUUCUUUAUUCACAGACUUUAAGGCCAUCAUUUUACUGCAUAAGACAAAUUAAAGAGUGGUUGGAGGAUUGUGUAACAAUCAGAUUAUUAACAGAGGUUGGAGCAGUUUUUGCAAACAAUGUUUGAUUGCACAGUUUCCAAUAAACAGCCAUUUUUUUUCUAGCAGCAAGAGGUGUACUGGAUUGGGGAAAAAAUUCUGGGAAGAUCUGGGAUUUUAUUUUUAAGUGAGAAGACAUUAAAAAAAUAGUCUUAAUGAAUCCAAUUGUUAAUUGUAUCAUUUUACAUGUAAGUGUCCCUGGCCAAUUUCUCUUACAGAAUUAUCUGAUAAGAAUAUAAAGUUGAGAUGUAAUAGGUAUGGGAUUAGCAGGUCAGUGUAUUGUACACAAUAACUAACCUAGUUAAGUCAGUGCUUUAAACCCCCUUUACAAAGUAUAAGCUGCAACAUAGGUUCUUAGAAUCACCUAACAAACUCAGGACCUGUAUCGGUGACCACAACAUCUCUUCAAUAAAUAAACCUGUCACUAUGACUCUGACAUUGCACAUGGUUUGGUGUUGGGUCCUAAUUAACGAUGAAGAGGAGUACUAACUCCUGUGUCCAAGAACAUGGGAGCAACAACUGUAGUUAUUUCUAGACUCAAAGUGACACUGUCUUAACAUCACCGUAUACAGCGAAUAUGUAAUUAGUCAUAGUGACAUUCUGUAAUUGAUUGAGACAACAAAUGGUUACCUCUUCCUCAGCAGUACCAGCACUGCCGAAACCCAGUGUGUAUGUGUGUUACUGUAAAACCCACAGACACACUGAUCCUGCCUACAUUCAUGGUUAUUCCUGCCCCUUUGAUGCCAACACACUGGCUCCAUUAUAGGGCUAUAAUGAAGUAAAUCCAUAUGUUCUAGCAAAACCAUAAUAUAAUGUUCUAGCACGCACCAGGACAAAAUCAUAGCAAGUGUUUUGGUUGACGAGACAGAGCAGCGCCACUUGGGAGUGUGUUCUGCUCGUGUCACUCAGUUGUUGGUAUAUAGAUCUCAGAACUCUAUGCAGAAAACUGGUGACACUGGGGACACUUCUAAACAGGUCAUCAAAUCUAUAUAUUGACUAGUGAUUCUGAUCACGGAAUAUUUAGCAGACAUUUUAUGUGGUUCAAAUUUUAAAUAAACUUGUAUUACCAGGACAGGUACACUUUAAAUGAACACACAGAAAAAUAGGGGACAAUCUGCUAAAUACAAAUAAAAAACAUAGCAUAUAACUGUGUGGAGACUGG
rnacentral:lncRNA from 1 species